UACGGAGGGAGCUAGCGUUGUUCGGAAUUACUGGGCGUAAAGGGCGCGUAGGCGGCCGCCUAAGUCAGACGUGAAAUCCCUACGGCUCAACCGGGGGAACUGCGUCUGAUACUGGGUGGCUCGAAUCCGGGAGAGGGAUGUGGAAUUCCGAGGUGUAGCGGUGAAAUGCGUAGAUAUCUGGAGGAACACCGGUGGCGAAGGCGGCGAUCCUGGGACCAACACUGACGCGUGAGGGG
rnacentral:rRNA from 1 species